UUCAGAAUCCCUGUGUAAGUUGUUGAAAUGUCACAGUUCUAUUGGUUCCUGGUGCCAAAUAGUGAAGGAGGAGGGAGUUCUCACUCCUACAUGUGUGUGUCCAAAGACCUGCCCACAGCAGGGGGCAGCAGUGUGCAGCGUUAUGGGGAAGACGUACAGCAACGAGUGUCUUCUUCACAAGGAGGCCUGCCGCAAAAAACGACGCAUUGGCAAGGCAUAUAGUGGAGCUUGUCUGGUGAGCGAGGCUGAAUGCUCUGAGAAAGAGUUCGGUCAGCUCCUGUACCGUCUGCUGGACUGGUUCUUACUCCUCAGCAGAAUGGGAGAGAGAUACACACCAGCCGCUCCCUCUCAAAGUUGCCUCACACACACGCAGCGAACCCAACUUGUAGAGGUAACACAAAGAAACGCACUGAACUCACUCAAAUCACUUACACAUAAGGCCAAUGCCAUCCUUAGAUUAUUCACACUUUCCACUUUUGCAUCAAGAUUCAUAAAUAUAUGAGUCAAAAAAAAAAACUAUUGGUUCAUGUAUAUCCACACAUCCAUCCACUUCCAAGAAUGUCUCAAGAUUAAACUUCAGGCAAGUAAAUUGAUAGCAUUAGGGUAUUUUGAUUGAGAAAAAAAAAAACCUCCUAUUAUUGAUCACCUGCACAUUGAUUAUCUUUAAAUUAUUAAAUGGGAACCCUGAUAAAACCAUAACAACUACUCUGAAUAGAGUUCUAACCGAAAGAUCCUUUAAAGGGGUCAAAUGAUGCUACAUGCACUUUUUUACAAGUUGUUUGAACUGAAAUGUGUGUUGGCAGUGUGUGUACACAACCACCCUAAAAUGAUAAAA